rnacentral:rRNA from 1 species
GACAGAGGUCCCGAGCGUUAGGCGGAAUCACUGGGCUUAAAGCGUGUGUAGGCGGACUUCUAAGUCCCUCGUGAAAUCCCACGGCUUAACCGUGGAACUGCUUGGUAUACUGGUUGUCUUGGGCCAUCUAGGGGCUACUGGAACAAACGGUGGAGCGGUGAAAUGCGUAGAGAUGUGGAGGAACACCGAUGGCGAAGGCAGCCCCCUGGGUCAAGACUGACGCUCAUGCACGAAAGCGUGGGGAGCAAACAGG